CUUGCUGGGUGGAUUAGUGGCGAACGGGUGAGUAACACGUGAGUAACCUGCCCUUAACUCUGGGAUAAGCCUGGGAAACUGGGUCUAAUACCGGAUAGGAGCGUCUACCGCAUGGUGGGUGUUGGAAAGAUUUAUCGGUUUUGGAUGGACUCGCGGCCUAUCAGCUUGUUGGUGAGGUAAUGGCUCACCAAGGCGACGACGGGUAGCCGGCCUGAGAGGGUGACCGGCCAC
rnacentral:rRNA from 1 species